UACGGAGGGGGCUAGCGUUGUUCGGAAUUACUGGGCGUAAAGCGCACGUAGGCGGAUAUUUAAGUCAGGGGUGAAAUCCCGGGGCUCAACCCCGGAACUGCCUUUGAUACUGGGUAUCUGGAGGUCGAGAGAGGCGAGUGGAAUUCCGAGUGUAGAGGUGAAAUUCGUAGAUAUCGAGAGGAACACCUGCGGCGAAGGCGGGUUGCUGGGCUGACACUGACGCUGAGACGCGAAAGCGUGGGGAGCAACAGG
rnacentral:rRNA from 1 species